rnacentral:rRNA from 1 species
UACGUAGGGUGCAAGCGUUGUCCGGAAUUAUUGGGCCUAAAGCAUCCGUAGCCGGUCCUGCAAGUCUUCCGUUAAAUCCAGCUGCUCAACAGAUGGGCUGCGGAGGAUACUACAGGGCUAGGAGGCGGGAGAGGCAAGCGGUACUUUAUGGGUAGGGGUAAAAUCCGUUGAUCCAUAGAAGACCACCAGUGGCGAAGGCGGCUUGCCAGAACGCGCUCGACGGUGAGGGAUGAAAGCUGGGGGAGCAAACCGG